rnacentral:sRNA from 1 species
UCGAGUACUUGGACUGGAGUGGAACUGAAAUCCAUUAGCCGCCGAGUCUCAAGAGCAAUGAUAAAGGGCGCAGCAGCGGCGCAGAAAGCGAACCUAAUAGCCUCGACUCGACGUGUUGUCCCUUUCAAUUAUAUAAGAGGCGACCAGCUCCUCCCAGGACACCCCACCCCACCUCCUGACCUUUUCGAGGACCCUGCGGUUUUCUUUUCUCUCCCCUGUUGCCGGCUACUUGAGAGAAUUUUUCAAUUUUACACGUUGGCCAAAAGAAAAGGCGUUUCCACAACAGCAACCGAGAAUCGAAGCCAGCUCAUUGUUAUUGUUCGUGGGAGUUGGCCGAGAGUCGGGGGAAUAUUCACUGAGAAAAAUAGUUCUGAAAAUAAUGAACUUAAAAUAACUUAAGUUUUCGUAAAGAAUGUUAUAGUGGCUUCAUUAAAUACAUUGAAAUAAUUGCUUUUUAAUCUCUCAAAAUUGAGUCGGUUUUUUUUAAUGUCAUUUGAUUUCCUUUAAUCAAAAUUAAAACAAUAGUUAUAUCUUUCGAAUCCAGUAUGUAUAACUAUUAUUCUCACUACCAUUUCGCAAUGCAGGACGAUGAAAUCCCGUGGGUGGUAAAGACCCCCGAAAAGUAGUAUCCAACAAGCGUGGGGGACCGGUAUCCAAUCCUCAUCUAUUUGCCUCGUGAAAUUUAUUGGCAGCAGAAUAAUGCGAGGCACGUUCAUUUGAUUACAUUAAAACGAAAGUGGCUAAAAAGGUUGGACCACAAAGAGAGCCCUGAAUAGAGCGGCUAGCGUUGCGGAGACUAGGCGGAAAUUUUUAAAUAAAUAAAUAAUAAACGCAGAACGAAUUGGAGUGGGUUGCUGCUUAUUAUGCUGCAGAUAAGGUUGAUACCUUGAACAAGGGCAUUUGCCCAUUGUCUAUAUUUGCUGAACAAUGGACAUAAUGCCCUUUUGUGGUAGUGUGUGUGUGGCGUUAAAACAACAGACUCUGAUUAAUAAAGCCACAUAAUGGAAUUCAAACUCAAUUGCAAAUCAAUAGUAGUUGUAUAACUAUUAGCUAAUUUCAAAAGUUUAAAUGUCUUAUUAAAUUUUUAAAGAGUUAAGCAAAAUAUUUUUAAAUUGAUUUUUUUGAAGUUCAACCAUAUAAUUAUUAAAUUAGAAACGCUUUGCGCGCCUCAAUUACAUUAUGAAACAGCUCAAUUUGUUCAUCGUGCCAUCCAUAAAUACUAUAGCCCUGGUAUUUGUUUUCCAUUCGUGCUUCAAGUUUGUAUAAGCUCGUUUUUAACUAUUAAAAUUAAAAAAAUGUGGUCUAUUAAGAGGUCCUCUUUUCUUCUUAGCACUGUCGCAAUAUUUUUAAUCAUUGCAAGCCAGUGUACAUUUCCUCUUAUUUGUCUACAAAAAAAGGCUUAACUUUGCGAGCCUUCUUUUAAAUGGCUGUCUAACAUAAUUUAGGAUCACAAUGAGAAACUGUUAAAUAGAAACAAUAAAUGAGUUUAAUGUUUUCUUUUGGCAAUUUAUUUUCACUUUGCUGCUCUUGAGUAUUCGAAUAUCGCAACUUUACUAAAAUGUUCUAUACCGAUUCCCUUCGAUUCAAACACGCCGUUUAAGUUUUGAAAUAACUAAAUUAUAAGUCAAGCGAAAUAAAUCGUUCCGAUUAGAUAUGCUAAA